rnacentral:misc_RNA from 1 species
AUGAUAACGUUGAAAAAUUGCGCGAGGUAUUCCGAGUAACUUCUGAAUGGAUAAAAGAUGUAAACAUUCUCCGUAAGAAAUCUGUUUUCGUUCUUGUGAUUUUUUUCGAGUGAAAAAUGAUAAUCAGUCAAUGUAGAUAUCUUGGAAAUUUUCCCUUUCAUCGAUUUCAACUGCACUUUUUUCACAGGUAUGUGUAUUUGUAAUUUAAAAUCGUCCAAACGUGCUGCAUAAAUAUUUUUGGAUAGACUAUAAUUGAAUGGUCUUUGAAUGUGACAAGGUGGUAAGGCUAAAGCUAUGUCAUUAAGUCACCUUCAAUCAGAAUUUACUUGACUGAAUGUCCCGGUUUACGUUAAAGUUCUGAAUAUUUAAGUUCUGAAUAUUUUAUUUUAUUCUGCAUUUAAACUGAGUCAUGACAUGAAUUCACUUGAUAUGUGGUAUUUUUUUUUAUUUAUUAUUCCGUUUAUAGCAUGCUUUCCCACUUCUUAACUUUUUUAAUGACCCUUGUAUAUAAAUUAUCUCUACAGAAAUGGCAGCUUUUCCUUCCAAAAGUCUUUCAUGCCAUGCCUGUUAUCGAUAUUGUUUGUGUUCGUACAGUUCAUCAAGAGUUAGAACUGCAUCCCAAGCCAGGAGUUCUCCCAAUUUUCAUUUCUGUUCAUUGUAACAGAUUAUAUUUAUAUUUAUCAUCAAAUCAAUCAUAUAUGAUUAAGACUAUAUAACAUUCCAGAAACAUGUCUGUGGGCUUAUGCCAGAUAGCUGUUUUUAAUUUUCUUCAUGUUUGGAUUUAGUUAGAUUAUGCUUACACAUAUAUUGCCAAUUUUACCUGCGUAUUUACUCUGUAUAUACAUGUUCUAUGCAUUUUUACCUGCUUUGUUGAGGUUUUACAAGUUUGAUUGUAUUAGAUAAUUAAUGUAUUUAUUCUUGUUGAUGCAUAAUGUAUUACAAUUACGCAUGUGCCAUUGAUUAUUUGUGCUUAUUGUUUUCCUUCUAUUUUAUAUAUUAUUUAGUACGUGCUUUCAUAUUUUAGUGUUUUUUUUAAUAAUGUUGUUACCAUAUAAUGGAAAUAUUUAUUUUUUUAAUGUUGAUUUAAUUACAUAACGCCAUAUGCCUACCUAUUAUCCAAUGAACAGGAACACCUGGUGUAGUGUCGUUCUCUCUCUCUCUCUCUGAAUUAAGUGACUACGUUUUGUGACCUCUGAUCACUAUUACUCUUAUAAUUACCAAGGAGAUUAUAAAUGACUAUAUUAUCAGGUGUUUUCAUUGCUUUUCUCUCAACUUUUAUGUAAUAAAUCUAUUUUUCCACGUAUUAAAUAUUCCAAUUGAUAUUUAGGUAGUUACUACAUAACCUAAUAUGAGUUAACUAUCCUUCAAAAUUUAUAAUAGAUUCAUUAACAUC